CAGUACUCAAUCAAAUCGCUGGCGUGAUACAUACUAAUUUAAAAAGAUACAAAAAAACUUAAAGCUUAAAAAUAUCAAAAAACAUUGAUUUUCCACGACAGAUUUUAGGGUCCAUAUUGACCACUUUCGGUUUUUAUUAAAGUACUCUUUUACAAACCUUAACAAAGAUGUGUUGCGGACCGUGUGGAGGAUGCUGCGGCGGUGGAUGCUGCGGCGGAUGCUGUUGCCCUUGCAUCACGAUCUACACCUGCUGCACAAAGAUUUGCUAGUGGCACGAGUAGCGCCCAUUCGCACAGACAAGCCAUGGUGUCUGUGUUGAAUCUGGGCGCUCCGGCGCCUUCGAUGUUAUGUCUUCUUCGAAGUAUACUCCGUGCCGUUUUGUGGAAAAUAAACUACUAUAAAUAAGCGUAA